GGCGACAUAGCUCAGUUGGGAGAGCGCACGACUGAAGUUCAUUACGAUUCUUCAUUCGUGCGGUCCCUGGUUCGAUCCCGGGUGGUGCCA